CAUUUAUGACAGACUCUCAUUCUGUAUUAGGCAUUAAUGUGAAUAUUACAUCAGUCCCACAAGAAUGGCACCAGUAAACAUUCAUCUGAAAAGAGGAUUCAUCACAACUGAUAUCAUUUUGGGGGUUGUUGGCACUGUUAUACUGGCCUUCACACUUUUCUCCCAUGGACAUGUCUCUAGAGAGGAGGAGGUGCAGCCAUAUGUGCCUGGAGUGACUAUUUUGUAUAUUAUUGGAGGGAUCACUUUUUUAAUGUCAGUUUUCGGACUAUUUGGAGCAAUGAAAGAGAAACCAUGGGCACUGAUAGUGUUUUCAGUGGGUAUGAUUCUGCUGAUCCUUCUACUCAUUGUGAUCUCAGGGAAUGCUAUAUAUGCAAAAGUAAAGUUUCCAGAGCAGCUUUUCAAUGACACAGUGUUGAGUGAUCAAACACCAGAAUUUCAAAAUAUGGUUGAGUCAUGGCAGACUUUGUUCCACUGCUGUGGCCUAAAUAGAGGUUACCAGGAGUGGGAGGGUCACAUUCCACAUUCCUGUCUAUGUGAGCAGCCAGAAGAGAGCUUGUCUCCAUGUAUUGAGGUUGAAUUGCUCAAUGGCACUACAAAAACAGACAUAAAAGUAUACAAAGAGCCAUGCCUUCCACAUAUUAUCUCAUCCAUGACUCUGGUGUUUGACGUGAUGCUGGUAAUCCUGCUUGGAUAUGCAGCAUUCCUGAUCAUUGCCACCGGAAUGGCCAUUGCAAUAGCAUGCCAGAAAAGAAGAACAUCAAUCACUCCACCAGUGAAAUUCAGCGCUGAGUCCAGUAACUCAAAGUAUACAGAGCUUUCUUACAACACAGACAAUGAUUAAAAUUCUCAUUUCUACUGAAAUCCAAGACAUCAGUAGAAAAGACCAAGAGAUGCAUUCUUCACCCCCAAAAAUCAGUUUACUUCAAACAAUAGUCCACCAUUUUCAUAAAACCAAAACUGAAAUGUGUAGUUUUAGGUGGUUCUUCAAUGUUUUCAGAAUAGAAAGAAGAACAUUGUUUAGACAAUACUACCCAUCAAGAUUGAAAUCUGGAACAAAUUCCAUGGUAAUCAUAGCAUUACACUACAAAAUCCACAGAGUAUAUUUUGUGAAAUUGUCAUCCUCUUAAAACCCAUAAAAAUUCCAAAGAUCCUGUGAGGCAAUACAGUUAUGACAAUAAUUAAGGGAAAGUAUCUUUGUACUGUUUAUUUUUUAGAGUUAAUAUCAACACCACUAGUCAUCAGGGAUGCUGAAGAUGAAGCAAUCCUAAUGUAAAUAUAGCAUUGCAGAUAUAUUAAAUCCUUUCACGAGACAAUAUCAAAUCAUUACAUUUGGAUGAAAUAAUGAACUGAUAUAUUGGUACCACUGUGUAAUUUCUGUUGUAAAUAAAUGUUUUGUUUUGGGGUUUUUUUUUUGUAAAAUGUGCUGUGUGGAUUCCUGUACUUUAUGUCACAACAAAAGGAAACAGUAAUGUACAGAGUUCAGAGUUGAUUUAUAUUGGAGGACAUAAUAAAUGUGAAACUGUGGCACAGUCCAACAAA